GGCCUUCUGUAUCCGUGCUGAGAUAUCACCACACACUUGACCACAAGGGCUGAUGAGACUUCCCAGAUAAGUGAAGUG
rnacentral:pre_miRNA from 1 species